UGGACGUAUCAGAAGUGCGAAUGCUGACAUGAGUAACGAUAAAGGGGGUGAAAAACCUCCUCGCCGGAAGACCAAGGGUUCCUGUCCAACGUUAAUCGGGGCAGGGUAAGUCGACCCCUAAGGCGAGGCCGAAAGGCGUAGUCGAUGGGAAACGGGUUAAUAUUCCCGUACUUCUUACAAUUGCGAUGGGGGGACGGAGAAGGCUAGGUGGGCCUGGCGACGGUUGUCCAGGUUCAAGUGCGUAGGCUGAGAAAUUAGGUAAAUCCGGUUUCUCUUAAGGCUGAGACACGACGUCGAGCAUCUACGGAUGUGAAGUCAUUGAUGCCAUGCUUCCAGGAAAAGCCUCUAAGCUUCAGAUUGUAAGGAAUCGUACCCCAAACCGACACAGGUGGUCGGGUAGAGAAUACCAAGGCGCUUGAGAGAACUCGGGUGAAGGAACUAGGCAAAAUGGUACCGUAACUUCGGGAGAAGGUACGCUCUCGACGGUGAAGUCCCUCGCGGAUGGAGCUAUUGAGAGUCGCAGAUACCAGGUGGCUGCAACUGUUUAUUAAAAACACAGCACUGUGCAAAAUCGCAAGAUGACGUAUACGGUGUGACGCCUGCCCGGUGCCGGAAGGUUAAUUGAUGGGGUUAGACUU
rnacentral:rRNA from 1 species